UACGUAGGGUGCGAGCGUUAAUCGGAAUUACUGGGCGUAAAGCGUGCGCAGGCGGUUCGUUAAGACAGAUGUGAAAUCCCCGGGCUUAACCUGGGUACUGCAUUUGUGACUGGCGAGCUAGAGCAUGGCAGAGGGGGGUAGAAUUCCACGUGUAGCAGUGAAAUGCGUAGAGAUGUGGAGGAAUACCGAUGGCGAAGGCAGCCCCCUGGGCCAAUACUGACGCUCAUGCACGAAAGCGUGGGGAGCAAACAGG
rnacentral:rRNA from 1 species